GACGAACGCUGGCGGCGUGCCUAAUACAUGCAAGUAGAACGCACAGUUUAUACCGUAGCUUGCUACACCAUAAACUGUGAGUUGCGAACGGGUGAGUAACGCGUAGGUAACCUGCCUGGUAGCGGGGGAUAACUAUUGGAAACGAUAGCUAAUACCGCAUAAUAUUGAUUAUUGCAUGAUAAUUGAUUGAAAGAUGCUAUUGCAUCACUACCAGAUGGACCUGCGUUGUAUUAGCUAGUAGGUGAGGUAACGGCUCACCUAGGCGACGAUACAUAGCCGAACUGAGAGGGUGAUCGGCCACACUGGGACUGAGACACGGCCCAGACUCCUACGGGAGGCAGCAGUAGGGAAUCGUCGGCAAUGGACGAAAGUCUGACCGAGCAACGCCGCGUGAGUGAAGAAGGUUGUCGGAUCGUAAAGCUCGGUUGUAAGAGAAGAACGGGUGUGAGAGUGGAAAGUUCACACUGUGACGGUAUCUUACCAGAAAGGGACGGCUAACUACGUG
rnacentral:rRNA from 1 species